UCAGAGGUCUCAACCGUUGUUCGGAUUCAUUGGGCGUAAAGGGUGCGUAGGCGGUCGUGCAAGUCGGAUGUGAAAUCUCAGGGCUCAACCCUGAAACUGCAUUCGAUACUGCGUGGCUAGAGUUCGGUAGGGGAGACUGGAAUUCCUGGUGUAGCGGUGAAAUGCGCAGAUAUCAGGAGGAACACCGGUGGCGAAGGCGGGUCUCUGGGCCGAUACUGACGCUGAGGAGCGAAAGCGUGGGGAGCGACAGG
rnacentral:rRNA from 1 species